GCUGUCAAAAACGCGUUUUUGACGUAGUACCCAGUCCUUAUUGUGACAUUUUGGUCCAAUUUUCACAUUUAAAACAGCAAUAACUCAAAGACUUUUUGAAGGAUAAAAAAACUGUUUGAAAGUCUUAUAUGCGGUUUUUUGUAAGCUUUCUGAUGAUGCAAGUCAUUUUUGUUGUAAUUGAAUACAAAAUUUCACGUUUUCUUGCUGUAAUCAUUGAUCACCCAUUUUCUCGGUGUUUGGCAAGUUUUUUGCUUGGGAACUUUUUGUGGUAAUCGAGCAUCUAUGGUACUAUGCCUUGAACCACAGAAAAUCUAUUCCCCAGGAGGUUGCCACGAAACGAAAUAAUUUUAGCCAACGGCCCACGGCCUACAUAGCAAUCAACGAUGGUACUAGCUGUUACUGUCCCUCCAAGGAUGAAAACAACAUAAUCUAAGAUGCUUCUGACCUCUUGCAGAAACCUCAUUCUUGAGUCAAAUGUAUGCAGUCGCUGGGAGUACAAUUGUCCUUCGAUAUAAUGUAAAACAAAAAGUAUGCGGAUUCAAAAUGUUACCCAUGUUUUUAAAUCAAAGGAACACUAUACUUUGUUUCCAAUCGUCCUUUUGCAACAGCUGUACUGCCUGCACAAGUAGCUGCCCAGUAGCUAUAUAUAUGGUCCUCUUUCUUCUUCGACAUCAACUGUCCUUGAAGCUUUAAGGUAAAAUCUCCAAAAAUGCUGGAACCAUCUUCGUCGAUUACCAUUGUCUUCUCAUUCUCCAACAAAAAUCUCCGACCUUCAUUC